rnacentral:rRNA from 1 species
UACGUAGGUGGCAAGCGUUGUCCGGAAUUAUUGGGCGUAAAGCGCGCGCAGGUGGUUCCUUAAGUCUGGUGUGAAAGCCCACGGCUCAACCGUGGAGGGUCAUUGGAAACUGGGGAACUUGAGUGCAGAAGAGGAAAGUGGAAUUCCAAGUGUAGCGGUGAAAUGCGUAGAGAUUUGGAGGAACACCAGUGGCGAAGGCGACUUUCUGGUCUGUAACUGACACUGAGGCGCGAAAGCGUGGGGAGCAAACAGG